CAUUGCUGAAUUACUUUAACCUUCUCUAUGGCUUGAUAAACAAGAUCCAGUCCGAACAAAAGAGUUUCACCCACUUCGAACCAUCCUAUUGGUGAUCUACACUUCCUUCCAUAUAAAGCUUUAUAUGGUGCCAUUUUGAUACUUGAAUGAUAGCUAUUAUUGUAGGCAAACUCAAUAAGAGGUAAAUGAUCAUCCCAGUUGCCCUUAAAAUCUAUUACACAAGCUCGUAGCAUAUCUUCAAGUGUUGGAUGGUACGUUCUGCUUGUCCAUCUGUUUGAGGGUGAAAAGCUGUACUCAAAUUCACUUGUGUUCCCAAACACCUUUGAAAAGACUUCCAAAAGUUUGCGGUAAAUUGGGUUCCCCGAUCUGAUACCCCUUUUAUUGGUGAUACCUUCAAAAAUACCCAAUCACCUAUAGAAAACUCUAGUCCUCUCCUUCUACUAUCCGCAUAUUACUUGUGUCGACUUUGGACUAUUUUCAGUCGUCGCUGAAUUACUUUAACCUUCUCUAUUGCUUGAUAAACAAGAUCCAGUCCGAAUAAAAGAGUUUCACCCACUUCGAACCAUCCUAUUGGUGAUCUACACUUCCUUCCAUAUAAAUCUUCAUAUGGUGCCAUUUUGAUACUUGAAUGAUAGCUAUUAUUGUAGGCAAACUCAAUAAGAGGUAAAUGAUCAUCCCAGUUGCCCUUAAAAUCUAUUACACAAGCUCGUAGCAUAUUUUCAAGUGUUUGGAUGGUAC
rnacentral:lncRNA from 1 species